UCAUGAAUCGRMWGACGMCGCUGGCGGGCGUGCCYCAACCACAUGCAACGUCCGAACGGUAACAGGGACUUCGGUCCGCUGACGAGUGGCGCACGGGUGAGUAACGCGUGGAGUUACCUGCCCAUCAGUGGGGAACAACUCCCGGGAAACSGGAGCUAAUACCGCAUACGACCUUCGGGUGAAAGAGGGGGAUCUUCGGACCUCUCGCUGAUGGAUGGUUCCGCGUCCGAUUAGUUAGUUGGUAAGGUAAUGGCUUACCAAGACGAUGAUCGGUAGCUGGUCUGAGAGGAUGAUCAGCCACACUGGAACUGAGACACGGUCCAGACUCCUACGGGAGGCAGCAGUGGGGAAUUUUGCACAAUGGGCGAAAGCCUGAUGCAGCGACGCCGCGUGCGGGAAGAAGGCCUUCGGGUUGUAAACCGCUUUCAACAGGGAAGAAGGAAUGAGGGCCAAUACCCCUCUGCCUUGACGGUACCUGUAGAAGAAGCCCCGGCUAAUUUCGUGCCAGCAGCCGCGGUAAUACGAAAGGGGCAAGCGUUGUUCGGAUUUACUGGGCGUAAAGAGAUCGUAGGUGGCUUGUUAAGUCGGAUGUGAAAUCCCGGGGCUCAACCCCGGAACUGCAUUCGAUACUGGCAGGCUUGAGUUCGGGAGGGGGAAGCGGAAUUCCGUGUGUAGCAGUGAAAUGCGUAGAUAUACGGAGGAACACCUUGAGGCGAAGGCGGCUUCCUGGACCGAUACUGACACUGAGGAUCGAAAGCGUGGGUAGCAAACAGGAUUAGAUACCCUGGUAGUCCACGCCCUAAACGAUGUCUACUAGCCCGUUGCGGGUAUCGAACCCCUGGCAGGUGGGCCGCAGCUAACGCGAUAAGUAGACCGCCUGGGGAGUACGGCCACAUCUUGA
rnacentral:rRNA from 1 species